rnacentral:ncRNA from 2 species
AUAUGCUACUAGGGGUGCGAAAGCUGAGAAUUACCCUUAUAACCUGAUCUAGUUAAUGCUAGCGUAGGGAAGUGGUGUUACAAGUUU